rnacentral:snoRNA from 1 species
UUGUUUAUGAUGAUAAUUUUAUCUCAGCUCACUCUGAUUCUUAUGAAGAUACACUUCUGUUUCCAACAUUCAUCAAAAUAUCUGAUACUUUU